UACAGAGGUCUCAAGCGUUGUUCGGAUUCAUUGGGCGUAAAGGGUGCGUAGGUGGCGAGGUUAGUCAGGUGUGAAAUCUCGGGGCUCAACCCCGAAAGUGCACUUGAUACUGCCUUGCUAGAGUACUGGAGAGGAGAUUGGAAUUUACGGUGUAGCAGUGAAAUGCGUAGAUAUCGUAAGGAAGACCAGUGGCGAAGGCGAAUCUCUGGACAGUUACUGACACUGAGGCACGAAGGCCAGGGGAGCAAACGGG
rnacentral:rRNA from 1 species